CGUGCGCACAUUUCAGGUGGAGUGUGAUUUAUAAAGGGAACAUUGCGUGCAGGUGUGCGUACGCACGGUUUAUAAAUCUGAUUUUUUUUUGGCGUACGCCAUUUUCGGCUUUUGUGCGCACGUACAUUUUUAGUAUGGAUCCUACGCACUGUUUUAUAAAUGAGACCCCUGGACAGUUUACAGCGGUGUAUAUGCACAUGGACCACCUGGCAGGUGCUCAGCCAAUGCAGCACAUAGCUGGCAGAGCAAAGAAGAUCAAAGCCACCAUGGAGGAUGGGACAUUUGUGUCAUUCUGCCACUUUCUGUCAGACCUUUUCUCUUCCAUCAGCCGACUCAGCCUGCUGCUCCAGAGAAAUGAUGUAAUCCUACCUCAGGCUGUUAGUGGCAUCAAAAGUCUCCUCGCUACCAUAGAAACUAUGGCAGCCAGACCCAAACCUGAUGGGAAGCUGUCUGCAUUCCUGGCAGCCAUGAAGGAGCAGCACCAACAGAAAGGAGAAGAAACUGGGAGGCGGGGAUUUAAAUAUCAGGUACACAUAUGUACUGUCUAUAUAAAUGUUUAUUUCUUGUUAAUAAAAUGUACUUAGUGUUUUAAGUUUUUUAUUCUUUACAGGAAGUCACCAUUCUUAAAGGUGAAGCUGCAAAGCUGGCAGAAGGUCAACCAGUCAGCCAGUGUGCCCCCAGACUGCAAAAAGCCAUUGAGCUGACCUGUCAGUCUACAGUGAAACACCCCAAGGACAGAUUUAACAGCCUACUUGGUGACUUGUUGUAUUUAAACAUUAUCAGCACACUGACAUGUUUAGAGGAGAAGGCAAAGGAUACACCAACAGCAAAGGCAGUGAGGUGUUUCAGUGUCUUCAACCACGACUCUUGGCCAUAUGAUACGCUGGAGGUCCUGGACCAAGGUGUAGAAGAGGAAUUGGUGCAAUAAAGAGCAAGCAAAAGAGGAGUUCCAAGAGAAGAUAAACACGUCAUUCAAAGAUAAAAGUUAUCUUGGACUGUGGGAAGUCAUGAUGACAAAAGAGCCCUACUGCUCAGACUAUGCAAAUAUCCUACACCUGGUCAGGAUCAUGCUGGUGCUCCCAAUAUCUGCAGCAGUCUGCGAGAGAGGCUUUUUGCAAAAAGGAAUUAAGUCAGAUGUUAGGGCAAGUCUGCACACUGAUACUUUGGAAGACCUCAUCAGAAUCAGUUUUGAGGGAGCAGAGCUGAUGGACUAUGAUGCCAGGCAGGAUGUCAAGCAGUGGCUCUCCCAGGGAAAGAGGGUUAGGAGGCUCAACUUCAAGAGCGGGCCCCUCGGAGUUGCAGGGUUUGAAGGAAUGUUGUGUUAAGUUAAUUUAAUGGAAGUUAUGUUAAUUUAAGUUAAGUGCAAACAUACAUUCUGUUGUUAUGCUUUACUUUCAACAACAUUUUUGUUAAGUUUUCUUUUGAUGUUAUAGAAGAUGACCUAUUUUGUUAAUCACUGUUCGUGGCAGAGAAACUUAAUAUUCAGAUUAAAAUAUUUUGUAAAUAUCAAGUUUCGAGGCAUUGUCAA